UACGUAGGGUGCGAGCGUUGUCCGGAAUUAUUGGGCGUAAAGAGCUUGUAGGCGGUUUGUCGCGUCUGCUGUGAAAACUCGGGGCUUAACCCCGGGCCUGCAGUGGGUACGGGCAAAACUAGAGUGCGGUAGGGGGAGACUGGAAUUCCUGGUGUAGCGGUGAAAUGCGCAGAUAUCAGGAGGAACACCGGUGGCGAAGGCGGGUCUCUGGGCCGUAACUGACGCUGAGGAGCGAAAGCGUGGGGAGCGAACAGG
rnacentral:rRNA from 1 species